GAUGAACGCUGGCGGCGUGCCUAAUACAUGCAAGUCGAGCGAACAGACGAGGAGCUUGCUCCUCUGACGUUAGCGGCGGACGGGUGAGUAACACGUGGAUAACCUACCUAUAAGACUGGGAUAACUUCGGGAAACCGGAGCUAAUACCGGAUAAUAUAUUGAACCGCAUGGUUCAAUAGUGAAAGACGGUUUUGCUGUCACUUAUAGAUGGAUCCGCGCCGCAUUAGCUAGUUGGUAAGGUAACGGCUUACCAAGGCAACGAUGCGUAUCCGACCUGAGAGGGUGAUCGGCCACACUGGAACUGAGACACGGUCCAGACUCCUACGGGAGGCAGCGGUAGGGAAUCUUCCGCAAAGGGCGAAAGCCUGACGGAGCAACGCCGCGUGAGUGAUGAAGGUCUUCGGAUCGUAAAACUCUGUUAUUAGGGAAGAACAAAUGUGUAAGUAACUAUGCACGUCUUGACGGUACCUAAUCAGAAAGCCACGGCUAACUACGUG
rnacentral:rRNA from 1 species